AUGGCUCCUACCGAGGCUGAGGCUGAUGUAGAGGAGGGAGAAGAGAAGAAGAAGAGGGAAAGGAAAGCAGCCGGAGCUGCUUUCACGUGGAUUCAAAAUAACUUUGCGACGUGCCCUCCGGAUGCCACUGAUGAUGUGAUCCAGACACAUGCUCGUGUGUAUAUGUGGUACGUUGUGUCGAGGACUUUGUUUCCUGACUCCACUGGCAAGAACGCUCCAUGGAUGUGGCUGAAGGCGUUGACCAUCUUCGAUAGCAAAUGGAGCUGGGGUUCAGCGACUCUUGCCUACUUGUACCGACAGGUAGUUGGUCUGUUUUGUGAUCAACUCAUUUCUUCAUUAGCAAUGCAAGCUUGCUGUCAAGUUAACAUUGUUUUUCUUUCAUAUGUAGUUGGACGAUGCGUGUUGCAGGAUCACAGAUAG
rnacentral:rRNA from 1 species